rnacentral:rRNA from 1 species
GUAAGGAAUAUUGGUCAAUGGACGCAAGUCUGAACCAGCCAUGCCGCGUGAAGGAUUAAGGUCCUCUGGAUUGUAAACUUCUUUUAUAUGGGACGAAAAAAGGUCUUUCUAGACCCCUUGACGGUACCAUAUGAAUAAGCACCGGCUAACUCCGUGCCAGCAGCCGCGGUAAUACGGAGGGUGCAAGCGUUAUCCGGAUUCACUGGGUUUAAAGGGUGCGUAGGCGGGUAGGUAAGUCAGUGGUGAAAUCCUGGAGCUCAACUCCAGAACUGCCAUUUGAUACUAUCUAUCUUGAAUAUUGUGGAGGUAAGCGGAAUAUGUCAUGUAGCGGUGAAAUGCUUAGAUAUGACAUAGAACACCCAUUGCGAAGGCAGCUUACUACGCAUAUAUUGACGCUGAGGCACGAAAGCGUGGGGAUCAAACAGGAUUAGAUACCC